GAUCAUGGCUCAGGAUGAACGCUAGCUACAGGCUUAACACAUGCAAGUCGAGGGGAAACGAUAUUGGAAGCUUGCUUCCGAUAGGCGUCGACCGGCGCACGGGUGAGUAACGCGUAUCCAACCUGCCCAUCACUUGGGGAUAACCUUGCGAAAGUAAGACUAAUACCCAAUGACGUCUCUAGAAGACAUCUGAAGGAGAUUAAAGAUUUAUCGGUGAUGGAUGGGGAUGCGUCCGAUUAGCUUGUUGGCGGGGUAACGGCCCACCAAGGCGACGAUCAGUAGGGGUUCUGAGAGGAAGGUCCCCCACAUUGGAACUGAGACACGGUCCAAACUCCUACGGGAGGCAGCAGUGAGGAAUAUUGGUCAAUGGGCGAGAGCCUGAACCAGCCAAGUAGCGUGAAGGAUGAAGGUCCUACGGAUUGUAAACUUCUUUUAUACGGGAAUAAAGUAUCCUACGUGUAGGAUUUUGUAUGUACCGUAUGAAUAAGCAUCGGCUAACUCCGUG
rnacentral:rRNA from 1 species